UCGAGAAUUUUUCUCAAUGGGCGAAAGCCUGAAGGAGCGACGCCGCGUGGGGGAUGAAGGGCUUCGGUCCGUAAACCCCUGUCAUUUGCGAACAAACCUUACGAUUAAAUAGAUCGUGAGCUGAUUGUAGCGGAAGAGGAAGGGACGGCUAACUCUGUGCCAGCAGCCGCGGUAAUACAGAGGUCCCAAGCGUUGUUCGGAUUCACUGGGCGUAAAGGGUGCGUAGGUGGUUGGGUAAGUCUGAUGUGAAAUCUCCGGGCUCAACCCGGAAAUGGCAUUGGAUACUAUUCGGCUAGAGGUUUGGAGGGGGGACUGGAAUUCUCGGUGUAGCAGUGAAAUGCGUAGAUAUCGAGAGGAACACCAGUGGCGAAGGCGAGUCCCUGGACAACACCUGACACUGAGGCACGAAAGCUAGGGGAGCAAACAG
rnacentral:rRNA from 1 species